rnacentral:rRNA from 1 species
GGGUGAGUAACGCGUGAGGAACCUGCCUCAAGGAGGGGGACAACAGUUGGAAACGACUGCUAAUACCGCAUAAGCCCACAGGUCGGCAUCGACCAGAGGGAAAAGGAGCAAUCCGCUUUGAGAUGGCCUCGCGUCCGAUUAGCUAGUUGGUGAGGUAAUGGCCCACCAAGGCGACGAUCGGUAGCCGGACUGAGAGGUUGAACGGCCACAUUGGGACUGAGACACGGCCCAGACUCCUACGGGAGGCAGCAGUGGGGAAUAUUGCACAAUGGGGGAAACCCUGAUGCAGCGACGCCGCGUGGAGGAAGAAGGUCUUCGGAUUGUAAACUCCUGUUGUUGAGGAAGAUAAUGACGGUACUCAACAAGGAAGUGACGGCUAACUACGUGCCAGCAGCCGCGGUAAAACGUAGGUCACAAGCGUUGUCCGGAAUUACUGGGUGUAAAGGGAGCGCAGGCGGGAAGACAAGUUGGAAGUGAAAUCUAUGGGCUCAACCCAUAAACUGCUUUCAAAACUGUUUUUCUUGAGUAGUGCAGAGGUAGGCGGAAUUCCCGGUGUAGCGGUGGAAUGCGUAGAUAUCGGGAGGAACACCAGUGGCGAAGGCGGCCUACUGGGCACCAACUGACGCUGAGGCUCGAAAGUGUGGGUAGCAAACAGGAUUAGAUACCCUGGUAGUCCACACCGUAAACGAUGAUUACUAGGUGUUGGAGGAUU